rnacentral:rRNA from 1 species
UCCUUAGUUGCCAUCAUUAAGUUGGGCACUUUAAGGAAAACUGCCGGUGGAUAAGCCGGAGGAAGGUGGGGGAUGACGUCAAGUCCUCAUGGCCUUACAGGCUGGGCUACACACGUGCUACAAUGGCAUCUACAGUGGGCAGCUAUUCCGCAAGGAUGCGCUAAUCUCCAAAAGAUGUCUCAGUUCGGAUUGUCCUCUGCAACUCGAGGGCAUGAAGGCGGAAUCGCUAGUAAUCGCGGAUCAGCAUGCCGCGGUGAAUACGUUCCCAGGCCUU